AGAUGCAACAGGACUCGGUGGA
rnacentral:misc_RNA from 1 species